UUGUUCCCAUAACUGAAAGUCAGGUCACAUGAGACUAAACUGCUACAGGUUCCAAUGCAUGCAUGUGAAUAACAUCACACUUUUACAUAAUAUCUUAAUGUUUUCUAUAUAGUUCACUAACAGUAUGCGCUUUCUUUUAUGCAGUAUGUUGAAUUAUUAUUAUUAUUUUUUUAAGAUUUUCUCAGAAAUAGCAGACUGCAGAGAUCAGACUGACAGAUCCCCAUCUGACAUCAUUAAUCAGACUUAGUCCAGAGGAGUGUUUCACUCUGCCUUUUUAUUUUUUAAACAAGUUUAUACAAAGAACACUUAACAAUGUUUCUGUUAUAAACAGAUGCUUAAAAAUCCAUUAAAUCAGUUGGAUGUGUCCAUAUGUUCCUUAGAAAUUGCAACUAGUGUAGUAGAAACAAUUGGCAUUUUCUUUGCUGUUGUGUCAGCAUGGUCAUCAUCAGCAUCAUCAUUUCUCUUGUCAUCAGCAUCAAAUUUGCUGUACCAUAUGUUCAGUCAUUUCAUUUCUUACAUUAAAAAUUGGUUCCCUUUCGAUGGAACUUCGAACUGCAUCCUCUUGAGGUCCCUUUGGGGAACGCCUUCAGUGUGACCGGUGUUUGAAGCAUACAUCUAAACACAAAAUAACCUUGGCCGGUGACAGCCUAUGAUUUUACCUAGCGCAAUCACAGUAUAAAAGGGCACCCGGAGAACACGUCAUCCUCUUUGGCCCUGUCCCAAAUCACACCCUGAGUCCACACUUUCAUGACGUUAUGCUACUUUGACUGUCGGGUAGAAGUCUGCCGCAAAGCUUGCCUCAGUGCGGGCUCGGCAGAAGUGGGCAUCGAGAAGGCAUAGCGGGGGCACUCAUGAGCACUUUGUAAGUCUGCAAGACCACAAAUGCAAGUGAAGUGUGCCAUUUGGGACAGGGCCUUCUUUGUCUUCAAUGACCUUUUGUUUAUGUUAGCGUUAAGAUAAGCACGACUAGGAGUGCAUGUUCUCUCGCUAGAGGCUUUGCUCUAAAACCCGGAGUUUCACAUGGCUCGUGUGUUGUGUCUGUGUGGUGAGGAGCAAGUGCGUUCAGCUCCCGAGGGAGUUGGAUGUGCUCUGCAUUCAUUGCUCAUUUCUUGAUAGGGAUAAGCAUGAAUUGAACAUGCUCAUCACAUAAGGAGACAGCCUGUGCCCAUUGUAAUGUAUUUGUGGGACUACUGUACGGGAAGUGAGUACUUCACCAUUUACCCAAGUUUGUAGAUAGCGCUUGUGUGAGUGUGUUCGCCUCUCGCAGGAAUAGCAAUGCAUUUACGGCAGCGGUUUCUGCUCUCGCUUGAUUUCUAUGGUAAUCUAGAACCUGGGCGGGGCGUGUUUAGCUCUAGCGGAAGCUAAAUGCAUGCCAUACGUUGCAGUUGUGGUGAGAAUUGUCUGCCCAUUGCCGUGAUUCGCGGUUGAUGGGCAGAACAUGGAAAGGACCUGACGGGAAUUUUUUUUCCCUAUCAGUAAUUUCCUUCUGUUUUUUUAUAGGAAGUGUAUAAUGUGGAUAUCUGUCUGCAGUUGUUGGACAGAUGCUUUAUAUCAUGUCCUUAUCAGGUAACCACAUUUUACUGCACUCCGGCUUGAUUCCCCUCCUGCGUUUGCAUUGCGGUCUCUCAUGCCUAUGGUGUUUUUGUUAUUUUCUAUGUCUCAUAGAACUACCUUUUACGGUCCAGACCCAAGCACUCUUCGGACUUUGCCUUCAGAUUAUAUUUGUGAGCUUGAGACAUGCAUGUGAGUCAUCCUCUCUACUUGAGAUCUAGGUACUUUGUCCCUGGCCUAUUGAUCGCUUCGGUUUAGCUGGAUUCCUCUCUCUUUGCCAAGGGUAGAGCCCUCCGCUCUUUGAGCUCCAUGACCGUGACAUCAGGUUUUGGCUGCUUGUUGCCUCCCUGAUAAGUUGCCCCUAUUUGGUUGAGCUUAGCAGUGCUCCUCUCAUCUUAGAGGGUCACCUAUGACCAAGCCUCUCCUAUUUUGAGAGUUGGGCCUCUCCUCCAUUGAGCUCCGGUUAGCAGUCAUGCCAGGUUGCUGGGACAUCUGUCUCCUUGGGGGACUGUUUUUUGGUUGAGCCAAAAUCUAGCGCAGCCUUCUGGUCGAGCUGAGAAGUGCUCCCCUCACUGUGAGGGUUAGCUAUGAGUCGCUCCCAGUGUGUGCUCUAAGGACCUGCCUCAGCUUGAGAGCCAAGAGCGUUGCUCCCGAAAACUUACAAUCUAUCUGUUCUCCAGACAUGGCUGUGCUCCCCUCACUGUGGGAGUGUAAUGCGGGAGCUCAACAGUCCUAAGCAAGACUCUGUGAGUCCCCCUCUCUGCUUGAGAGCUAGGUACUCUGACACUGGGCUAUUGAUCGCUUUGGUAAAGCUGGGUUCCUCUCUCUCCUUGCUAGGGUUUUAACCCAGAGUGACAUCAGGUAGUUGUGCCCUUUGCACCCUCCAUGAUAAGCUGCCUCUAUUUGGGUCCAGCCUAGCAGUGCUGAGCUGAGCAGUGCUCCCUUCACCCUACACAGUCACCUAUGAGCGCUGCUCCUGGAUUGAGCAUCUGAGUCCCCCUACUGUUUUUGAAGUUGGGCCUCCGCUCCUUUGAGUUCCGGUUAGCAGUCAUGCCAGGUUGCUGGGCCAUCUUCUGCCUCCCUGGCGGGUUGGUUGUUGAGUGAGCUAGCUGUGCUUCCCUCACCAUGGAGGGUCUCUUGCAAGCACACUGCUCCUUUCUGAGCUUCUGAGUCCCUCUCUUUUGAGAGUCGAAUCCUUCGCUCUGUGAGAUCCACUGGGUAGCAUGUUAGGACUCUGCCUUCCUCUUAGGCUGCUCUCUUGGUGAGUUCAGCAGUGCUCCCCUCACCCUGGAGGGUUAUCUAUGAGCGCGCUGCUUCCCAGUCAGGCAUUGGUGUACCCCUCUCGGUCUGAGAGCUGGGUGCUAUGCCCCUUCUAGUUAUGCAUUAGCAGAUGCUCUGGAGUCUGUUCUGUGACUGCUAUGGUUGAGUUGGUGAUACUCCCCUCAUAUGGAGGGUUUUUCUAUGAGAUACGACUUUUCAAAUUAAAAGCGCUCUGAGCACGCGGUCUCCCGCUAAAUUAAUAGUCACUCCCUGAACGUGCCACAGUCACAUGGGGUUCCUAGGCUUGUCUAAAUAACAGCUUCGGUUACCCCUUAGUUUCUAAAUCCAUGCUAUGGUAAGUGCACACGCUGAGCUUCUGUGCACUCUAAAAUCCACAUUGUGGUAAGUGUGCAUGAUAGGCAUACUGUGCACUUUCUAAAAUCUUGUAUGGUAAGGGUUACGCACUGUCAACCUUGUUUCCUUUCUCUGAGACACUUUGCCGUAUCCCCUUAAAGGAAUCUAUUUCUUCUGAUUCCAAGCCUUGAGCUCUGCCCUAGGCUUGGGCUUCCCAGCCCAGCCUUUAACAGGUAAGUUAUUUUAGGGUAUGCAGCUCAGGCCCUUGGCUGAUGGGGAUAAUGUCACUGACAGCUGUCAAGGCGUCCUUGGGGCAACUACCAUGGCUAUGGUAGAGUUGGUACUUAGUGCUUGCCAUGGUUUCUGGCAUGCACCUCCCUCAGCAUGGUGGUGUGGGUAUACCAUUUCCCAAAGUGACCUCUAGAGGACGCAGCUCGGAAGGGAACAUCUCAGGUUACGUACGUAACCAUGGUUCCCUGAGAAGGGAACGAGACACUGCGUCCUCUAGUUCCCUUGCCAUGCUUCAGACGAAAGCUACAGACAAAGAAGCAGAUGAUGUGUCCUCCCGGCUCCUUUUAUACUUUAUAAUAGGCUGUCACUGGCCAAUGUUAUUGUCGUGUUUAGAUGUAUGCUUCAUACACCAGUCAUGCUGAAGGCAUUCCCCAAAGUGACCUCUAGAGGAUGCAGUGUCUCGUUACCUUCUCGGGGAACCAUGGUUACAUACAUGACCUGAGACGUUUCAUAGUUAUACAUAUAAUUUAUUGAAUAAGGUUGCUCUCAUGCCGACCUAACAGAAAACAUUACAGAUAUCUUCCUACAUGACAGUUACAACAAUUGUUGCAUUAAAGCAUGGGAAUUGUAGUUUUUUUAUUAUUAGAUGAUAUGAAUAGUUAAUGUUCUGUUAGUAUUAAAAGGAAUAUUCCAGCUCCAGGUAUAGAGAAGGUUAGUAUAAGGAAUGUUAUUAAAUUAGUGUCAUGUUAACACACAUAAUCUGUAGCUUUAAGUGUUUAUACUUUUACAAUGGUGUGUAGUUGGUGUUGUAAGUAAGUGCAUUAUUUUUUUAUUAUUAUUUUUUUUUAAUUUAAAUUGAAAUUAUGGCAUUUUCUAUGGUUAUCAGCUUAUAAAUAGGUUUAACGGGGGAAAAUGUAUCUGUGUCAAUUUGCUUUUCAAAAUAUCUAUUGGCUAGUGGCUGGUUCAUUUCUAAAAGUUGCCAAAUUAUUUUCUGGUAUAUCCAAAAAAGAAAAAAAGGAGGAAAAAAUACUGAUGACUCAUCCUGAACUAAACUGAUUUUUGUCCAGUCAGAUCUGUAGGAUGAAAAUAUAUCCCCUAAAGCCAAACUGAAGAAAAAAAAAAGGAUGAGAUUUUAAUGUGUCCAACCUCCAACUUCCUGUUUCAACAAAGAAUAUGUCAAGAUAGGGCAGAAAACAUGCUAAUCAAGCAAAUUCAAGGGGUCUUCGGAUUGUUUUAAAUUUAGAAUACUCCUUUAGAGUCAAACCGAACCUUCCUAGACAUUGACCUUUGUGACAAUCCAUAAAAGUCUUUUAAAAUGUACAAUUUACACUCAUACAUGACUACAAACUGUGGUUCUUCUCAAACAGGUGCAUUUUAGCUUGGCUUUUGCAUCUCUAGUCUUUCACGUGCUCUCUACAGCUCUGUUUCCCUGACUGUCUCCCUCUUCCACCCUCCUGUAAAUUUUAUUUCUCUGAAUUAUUCAGCGUCUCCUCAAAGUGCAACCAGACUUAAGGGAAAAAAGCAUGGCAGAUAUGGAAAUGGGGCAUUAGACAAGCAAAAAAGAUGAAGUACAUGGAAACGAGAGGAUAGGAUGACAGAUCUCCUCUCUCCACCCACAGUUCUUCGUCAUCAUUUACUGUAUUGUCCUCCAUUUCUCUCUCUCUCCCCAGCCUCAGGAGACCCAUAUUAAGAUAUCACUGACAGCUAAGACUUAUGCCUCCCACUGUCCCGAUGAGAUGGAGAGAGAAAUGGAAGAACAAACACAAACGAGACAGUGACAGAGAGAAAGAAAGUAAGGAGAGAACGAGAGAGACUACAGUAAUAUCGGGUCCACACUGCGAGCAAGUGACGCGACAAAACUAGCUUAUAAUCAAUGAAACUGUCAGCCAUGGUGCAAGGUUUAAAAAUCAGUUUCUGCAAGGGUUCCUGUAGGCAAGUGUAUAAAAAGUACUGAAAUAUUUUGUGUGCUUUAUCACAAUAGUAGUGUUCUGGAAAUGUACAGUACUUGUUACAAUUUCACUUCGCGUUCAAAGUACUAAGUAUAAAGUAUGUUUCAAUUAGUCAUCAUCUCCAUUUAUAUGUCCUUUUAUUGAGAAUGCAUCAUUUCCUUUGCUUAAAUGAACUAAAAAGGCAUAUCACAGUCAGAGAAUCUCAAGAGACAAUCAAUAAAAUCCAUUUCAAUGUAAAAUGUACAGUAAUUCUUUAAACCAUGGUAAUUUAUACUUGUAAAGAGACGUUUCAUCAGUCACCCAAACAUGUGUCUAUAUUAUAACCACUGAUGAAGAUGAAUUUGAAAGAUUCAAUCUGCUCAGUUCGCUUUUUCAGCAUAUUAUUAUAUUUAUUUGAUAUUUAAUUAAGUGUCUGAUGUAUCCUAGAGUCUUUUAUAUUUGGGAUAUUGAGGACAACUGCAGAUAAAUAGGUUGCUUUGCAUUAAAGUUACUUUAAAAAAAAAAAGUCUCAUUUUAUCUAUUUCAAAAGAUAAGAAAAUAUAUUUUAAGCACAAUUACACUACUCUUCAAGGGUAAGAUUUUUGUUGUUGUUUUAGUCACUUUUGCUCUUCAAGGCUGCAUUUAUUUGAUUAAAAUUGCAGUAAAAACAGUAAUAUUGUAAAAUAUAAUUACAAUUUGAAAUAACUGUUUUCUUUAUUAAUAUAUUUUAGAAUUUAUUUAAGAUUUUUUUUAUUAUUAAUAAAAUUGAUUUUAAUGAUGGCAAAGCUAAUUUUCAGAAUCAUUACUUCAGGCUUCAGUGUCACAUGGUCCUUCAGAAAUCAUUCUUAUUGGUGGUUUUGUGCUCAAGAAACUUUUUUGUUUGUUUGUGAUUAACAAAGUUCAAAAGAAAAGCAUUUAUUUGAAGAAAUCAAUUGUAACAUAUGUCUUUACUGUAACUUUUGAACAACUGAAUGUGUCCUUGCUGUACAAAAGUACUAAUGUUUAUUGAUUUAUUUAUUUUAAAUAAAUGUUUGAACUGUAAUGCAAAUGCAGAUUUUUCUUUCUUUCCCUUGAGUAUAUUUGUAAGUAUAUUUUUGGCUAAUGAAGUAAAAUGCUGUCACAGUACCCAUACUAAAGUAUAAUUUGUCAGUACUUCUUACACCCCUCUACAGGCCCUGCGUGUAAAUUUAUGUCAGUUUCAAGAUUAAAAAGAUGAAAAGUGUCUGGAUGUACACACUGACAGUGCCUUUUCCUUUUUAUCAAGUGUUGCCAAUUUAUGGGUGGCACAAGUGACAACAACUAUUGAUGCAAUAAAAAUAAAGUCAGAUAAAGGUCAAUUUUAUGCAAAUAAGCCAUGUAAUAUGGCCACUAGCAUGUAGAGAAUGCAGAAAGGGUAGACUCUGUGUCCUCCAACAGUUUAAUCACAGUCAGUGUGAACGUCCAUUGAGCCUUGAAGAGUCAGAGGAGGAGGCUAGGAUGAGUGGAAAAGACAGAGUGAAUGCUGAUGAUGGAGAGCUGUGUAUAAAAGGAAUAAAAAUAGUAUAGUGGGCUAUUUAUUUAUUAAAGUGAACAACUCUGUCCUAACCCGGCAUGACUUCUGUUAUAGCACUGUUUUGGGUAGCCCACAGUUUCUUGCUUACUGGUCCAAAAUCCUGCUAGAGCGCAAAAGGAAGUAAAAUUCCCAGUGAUCCCACAAAGCCCUGCUAAUGAUGUAAUUAAAGUUUUAUGUAUGCUGUUUGCUGAAUGCUCAUUUUAUUACAUCAUUUGCAAUGCUUCCUGGUGUGAGAACCUAACUGCUUCAAAAGAAAGUAUCAUCUCUUUUUCCCAUUUUAAAACUUACAAUAAAUUUUUUUUUUUGCUUCGAAUUAAAUGUUGAAUGUCCAUAAACCAAGCUGUCACUUCUAUGAUUGCAUGGCAUUUUGGACAAAUAAAUUACUUGGAAAUGUGUUGCAUCGCACCUAGUUAGGACAUGGGGUAACGUGAGCAGGCUGCACCUAGAAAAGCCUUUGGGAGAGUUACACUAAACACUGUGUUUACAAUGUCAAAUCCUCAGCUUUAAUUUGUGUUUGUAGUUGUGAAAGGCUGUGAACUAAUGCUACUUUAUAUUCACAUCAUAUACAUACAUUUUUACACAAUAUUUAUAUAUUUAACUUUUUGCUCUUUUAACCCUGAUGUAUGAAUAAAUGGGCAUAUAUAAUCAGUAAACAUGUAAAACAUAAGAAACAUGACAGGAGAUAUUUCUCAAUUCUAGUGUUGCUGUAAAAAAAAAAAAAAAACUGGCCUUGUUUAAGUCAACAGGCAAGCCUAAUUAGUCUUUCUGUCAUUCUCUUUAUCAAUGAUGCAACCAGUGGCUUUUAAUUAGGAUCAAUCUGCAAUUGCUGUAGCUGGCUUUGGAUUUCCUUUAAUGCUGGUAAGUUCAAACUUAGAGCAGUUGUCUUUUCCACUUCUGUAAUGAGCUCUCGUAUGUCCUUAACAUGUUUUUGCAUGUCUUUUGGGGGUUCAAACAAGAAAAGUACCGUUUUCUCAAAGAGGGAACAUAAUUUUUGCUUUGUGAUGGAGAGUAAUACACAAACACACACAAAGUGUGUUGUGGCAAAAAAAAAAGACUAAAAUUUUGAUCACAGGACAGAGCAUCACUUUCACAACCUCUUGUUAUAGUUUACCCUAGUGAACUUUUUCCACUCCGACACAAGCAACUGUACUCCCUGUCAUUGCAUUGGGAAAAACUAAUCCUUUCCAUCUUGAACGCAGGCAACUCCUAUUAAGAUCACAUACCUCUUUUAAAGCCCUUAGUAGAAUUCAUCCUAAUUAUACAUACAGAAAAGGUACAGCUUAGAAUAGUGCAUAAGAUUAGAUCGGUCAAACAUACCACCAAACGAAUGGAGCCACCAAACAAAUGGGAACAAUGUGAUUCUCCAAUAUACAUAUUACAUGUCUCUGAAUUGGCAACUAAUAUGUCAUUCAAGCAUUGGUUAUAAUACAUCUUUUAAAAAUUAUAGGCUUUAUACAUAUAGCGCAAGCUUCAAAUAUGGCAAGACAUCUUUUAAGUUAGUAAGGAAGGUGAGAAGGGUGUUAAAAUUCGGAAGCACUUCAUCUCCGUCAAAUGGUUGUCAACUGCGGCAGGCUCGACUUUGAUUCCAAUUACACUUACGAUACAAAAAAGACGACAUUGCAAAUAGUACAUAAACAGUAAAAAGUACAUCAUGUAUUGCUAAAGAUAAAAUUCUACCCGGUGGCAUUCACAUCACAGGUAGAACGCUUUCAUUUUAAGAAGAAAUCUGAAACAACAGUCAUUCAGCUUAUUUAGGUGGUUUAAAAUAACCACUGGAAAUGAUUCUUCACACCGAAGGAAUUCGAAAGUAGAUAUUUACACCUUGUGUUUCUUUGUAACGGAUGUGAAUGCACGCAACCUCUUUUGAUUUCACUUUAUAGUCCUUAAACUUUGGAAUUAAGUAGUUAACUGACCAAUCCAGUGCUUUAUUGAGUUAAUGUCAAAGUUUAUUCCUGGACAAUAGGUUUAAGAUGAUCGAGCCAGAGAUCUUGUCACUGUGGUUUGUCAAAAGCUAAAUCUGCUCUGCUCUUUUCUGGCAUUCCUCAAAGACAGACUUCAUGACCUCCCGGCUGACAAAGUGGCUCCAUUUCAGGCAGAGGGCUGUGUAGCUGGCUCACCUUGGCAUCACUUGACAUCUCUGUGCCAGGAGAGUCUGACAGCCGUGUCUGUCCUCCAGGGUUUGCCCCUGAAACCCAAUGACACCCUGCAGCCAUUGCCACCGAAACAGAACGAAGCAUCACUGUAGCUCAGGAUAGUUUGACUUGAUGCUGACCCAAGAGAGCAUGUUGAUACAUCCUCGCAUCAAUUCAACGGUUGAAAAUAGCCAUCCAGGAACAUGCUGUAACUGUAAUUGUUGUCAUAUUUUUGGAACUGCUGUCCCUGGAGUUGGUCCACAAGUAGAAAUUAUCUCCAAAAUGAAGCUAGUGAGGAUAUAAAGAGAGAGAGCUACUUUUUUCUUUCUUUUUUCGUCCUUUCUUUAUAGUUCAUUACAGACCCAACUGCCGUAACAUGUACUGCAAUGACUAUAAUGUGAUCUAAUGCAAAGAAAGGAACACUUUGUACCAUUACGAGUGCGUUGCAUCCUCCUUCCGAAUUUAAUAAUCCUUUUCUGUCUCUCACAAUACUGCCAUUUUAUUUGCAAGCAGUUCCACUGAACAUUUCACACUCUUUUAUAGUCCCUAUGUGGCUUGUACAUCAGAUGUCAUUGGCCUGUAAAAUCUCACAAGGCUAUUCAAACAAAGUGUGCUACUUUUUAGACACAACCAUUUGCUUGGUAAACAGAUGCGUUAUUGUUAUGUAAAGCAAGAGGUUACCAUCAGACAUUUCUGUGGGUCAAUAACCAUAACUCUCCAUUCAGAUCCGUUGUCAAUGAAAAAAGAUAAGUCAGACAAGAAAGACGUAUCUACAGGCAGUAUGGGAGAACAUAUUUUGGAUCUGCUGUAUUAGAAGCAGGCCGUCAUCAAUUACAGCGCCCCCUGCUGUUCUGUGGCAGUGUGGCAGCCAAACGCCUGCCAGGGAACAGCUUGGAACAGCAGAGAGAGAGUGAGUUUGACAGCUGUGUCCAUCAGUCAUUUGGCCCCAGGCAGGAGAGGAUGGAUAGGCCUAGUAUUGCUACCAUUUUCCUUGGUCUCUAGGGCAACUCUCAAGACACCUAAACUCUUUACUUUCAAACUGAUGUCCACCACUAGAUUUCUCAUGCCCAUUAGGAUGCUACAAUAGGGUGUAGGUAUUGCUGCUACAUGCUUGAUUUCGCCAACAAAUCAUUGGUCUAAAAGGUUCUUGCUUUCACCAAAAGGAUAAUUAUUUACAUUCAGAAGUAUUCAAAGGAAGCAUGCUGUUUGACAGAUAUUGCAAAGAAUACACAUGGGUGAAUUUAGCAAAGUUGUUUUAGCAGUGCUACUUAUGACAUUGCCGGAUUUGUUCACCUCCUCCGUCACCAUGGCACCUCAUCUCUGCAGGCGACUGUCGUCCCCUGAAAUGUCUCUCUUGAGUUCUGUCUGUAACAGAGACUGACUUAUCGACCUUGUCUUUACCUGUGCUGUGUCUCAAACAAGAGUUUGAAAUAGAAACAGCCAGAAUAGCUAUGACUUGAUGUUGGCGGUUUGCUCCUUGGACAAGUGCUGGAAUGCAUCCUUUGAUGAUGGUGUUGAGGUAAAGAGACCUAGGGACAUUGGUCUUUGCCAAAUUCACAUAGACCCUUAUCCGUUGACUGAAAUAACAAACCCUUAGACAUCACAACACUUGAAACUCUCUUUCCCUCUCAAGGGGCACCUUGGUUUCUUUUCUGUCCCCUUCCGUAUGCUUCCUCGCUGUUCUUUGUCCUCAGUGGUCUAGAAUUGUCGGAAUAAUAUCUCACUGUGUGGCAGCUCUUGGCUGAUGGAAGCUGACAGCACAAUGGCCUUGUCCAGAAGGGUGUGAAGGCUCCUGAGGUGCAAGGCUCCUGCCCUUUGCUAUCGGACACAUGGGUCUGGGCCACAAGAGACAUCUGAAGGCCAGCAGUACAAGAACAACAGGCUUCCCCUCAGACCGUCACUUCUGUUUUGCUGUUCGUGGGCAGUCCCUUGUGUUUUGGGAGGAGGUGCGGAGACUGUCCAUACCCCAGAGGCUGAGUGAACAACUCUGGAAGAGUCUCAAUGCUAAACUGACGCUUGUUGGAGAAGGCCUGGCGCCGACUGUUUGGUUGGGACAGAGGUGGCUGUGGCUGCAUCAUGAGAGGGACCUGAUGUUGGACAUGGCUCUUGUUAGGGUCCCAAACUUUAAAGGCUGAGCUCGAGGUGAGCGGGUGGGUGUUAGUCUUGGAGAUCUUGGGCUUGGGGACUUGAGCUGACGUAAUGGUGAUGGUCAAAGGAGUAUGGAUGUCCGGAGGGGGAAGAAAGGGUUUGUCUUUUGGGUGGAAAGCAAUAGGCUGGAAGGUUGCAGGCGAGGAUUGGCGGUGUGCGUAAUCCAUCAUGGGGUAGCUCUUGGGGUAGUAAUCCCUUGCUGUAAUAUC
ensembl:lncRNA